rnacentral:rRNA from 1 species
AGUUCGGAUUGCAGCCUGCAACUCGGCUGCAUGAAGCUGGAAUCGCUAGUAAUCGCGGAUCAGAAUGCCGCGGUGAAUACGUUCCCGGGUCUUGUACACACCGCCCGUCACACCAUGGGAGUAGGUAAUGCCCGAAGUCGGUGACCUAACCGGAAGGAAGGAGCCGCCGAAGGCAGGACUUAUAACUGGGGUGAAGUCGUAACAAGGUACC